UACGUAGGGUGCGAGCGUUGUCCGGAAUUAUUGGGCGUAAAGAGCUCGUAGGCGGUGUGUCACGUCGGCCGUGAAAACCUGGGGCUUAACUCUGGGCGUGCGGUCGAUACGGGCAUCACUAGAGUUCGGUAGGGGAGACUGGAAUUCCUGGUGUAGCGGUGAAAUGCGCAGAUAUCAGGAGGAACACCGGUGGCGAAGGCGGGUCUCUGGGCCGAUACUGACGCUGAGGAGCGAAAGCGUGGGGAGCGAACAGG
rnacentral:rRNA from 1 species